UACGUAGGUCCCGAGCGUUAUCCGGAUUUAUUGGGCGUAAAGCGAGCGCAGGCGGUCAGAUAAGUCUGAAGUUAAAGGCUGUGGCUUAACCAUAGUACGCUUUGGAAACUGUUUAACUUGAGUGCAGAAGGGGAGAGUGGAAUUCCAUGUGUAGCGGUGAAAUGCGUAGAUAUAUGGAGGAACACCGGUGGCGAAAGCGGCUCUCUGGUCUGUAACUGACGCUGAGGCUCGAAAGCGUGGGGAGCAAACAGGAUUAGAUAC
rnacentral:rRNA from 1 species